ACCUCCAACCCGUUUGCCGGCCCCGAUCCCCCAUCUGCCGUUGGCAUUUGCGAUCUUAACAUCUUUGAUCGCGUUCCUAUCUGUCUUGAGCAAAACAACUCCACGUACUAUGCAUGGAAGACUUACUUCUCCCUCGUCUUCCGCGAGUACUUCCUCACCGAGCACAUCGACGGUUCCGUCAAUGCUGUGCUUAUGAAGGGUGAUCCCGAGUGGUCCGCCAUCGAAGCUACGCUCAUCCGAUGGUUCUACCUCACCAUCUCGAAGGAGAUAUUCUACACGGUCGUGUCCGAUGACGACGACGCAUGCUCCUUGUGGAACAAGAUCAACACGCUCUUCACCGACAACAAGCUCCAACGUAUGGGUUUUUUGCAGCAAGAAUUCUUCGGGUGCCAUUAAAACGACUCUUCCAUUGACCACUACUGCAUGCGCAUGAAGAUGCUCGCCGACGAACUACGCGACAUCGGCGCCAAGGUCUCCGACGAGCUCAUGCUUAGCACCCUCACGCCGGCCGCAAUGAGGAUUUUGGUAACGCGGCAUCUAACAUGACCUUGCUGCCCUCACCGCCUUUCCACCACCGUCACCUACCUGCGCUUGGAGAAGCGCCGAAUGAAGAUGGUGAAAACACAGGUGCAGCAAACCGCCCUCCACGCCAACGCCUCACGCGGUGCACCCGCGCUCCCGCUGCCGGCUCCACCAUAGUCGCAACAGUGGCCUCUUGCCGCGUCGGCCGCCUACUACCAGCCGCCAUCCGCGCCGCCGUCGGCCGACCGUGGCCGGCGCAACAAGCGUGGGGGUCGCCCCAAGCAGCAGCAGCAGAACCAGGGGUACAGGGGGAGCCUCGCCAGCCUCAGCCUUACCCACCCUAGUCCUUUGGCACCAACCUGUAGACUCGUGUUGUUCAUGCUUAUAGCAUGCCAGUUCCACGCGGCCCUGUUCCUGGCAUCCUUGGCUCACGACCUGCUGGGCAUCAGGCAUAGAAAGCGACUUCUCAGCCGCAGCUCGGCGGCUACUCCAUGCCACCCUCACCAUCGCUGACGGGUGGUUACCCUCUGCUGCCACCACCGUCGGCUUCCGGUGGCUACGGCCACAUGCAGCCGCCGGCUCCCGCACCAUGGAAUCCCGCCCUCCUCGCAGCUUUCCGCUCCGCACCUUCGCCGAACCAGUACGUCAGAGGCAGCGACUGCUACAUGGACUCGAGGGCUACCACCCACAUGUCAUCCACCCUCAGACGCCUGUUCCCGGAUGGUUCUUCACCGUGUGACAGCCCCGAUGAGCUCUACCUGGUUCAUUCUUCAUCCACCACCUCUGGCGCUCCCGUCGCUCUCUCCGCCGGUGUAAACCUUUGGCACGCUCGUUUGGGUCAUCCACACUUGCCACCCUUCAUCAUAUUAUUAAGAGCUUUUCAUUCACGUGUAAUAAGAUUGACAAUCAUACUUGUCAUGCUAGCCUUAUUGGAAAGCAUGUUCGUCUUCCUUUAGUGCAUCUACCACUAUUUCUUUUUCGUUUCAAUUACUUCAUAGUGAUGUAUGGACAUCUCCGGUUGCAAGCAACACUGGUUACCUUUACUAUCUUGUGAUCUUAGAUGAUUUUUCUCAUUAUGUGUGGAUUUUUCAUCUUCGCCGCAAA